AUACGGAGGGUGCAAGCGUUGUUCGGAAUUAUUGGGCGUAAAGCGCGUGUAGGCGGCUUGGAAAGUCGGGUGUGAAAGCCCGGGGCUCAACCCCGGAAUUGCAUUCGAAACUUCCUCGCUAGAGUCUCGGAGAGGAGGGCGGAAUUCCCGGUGUAGAGGUGAAAUUCGUAGAUAUCGGGAGGAACACCAGUGGCGAAGGCGGCCCUCUGGACGAUGACUGACGCUGAGACGCGAAAGCGUGGGGAGCAAACAGGAUUAGAUACCCGGGUAGUCC
rnacentral:rRNA from 1 species